rnacentral:lncRNA from 10 species
CAUAUAUAUGAAGGUGUUUCAUGAUAUGGAAGUCAAUAAGUGUGAUUCACCAUGUAAAGAUAAUUAAAAGAAAAAAAAAUAACAGUAGGGGCAGAAAAAGCAUUCAAGAAAACCCAAUAUUAACUCAAAAAUGUUGUCAACACACUGGACAUUGAUGAAAAUAUCUUAAUAAGAGUCAUCUAUGACAAAUCCUUAGCCAACAUCAUACUAAAAGAGCAAAAACUGGAAGCAUUCUCCAUGAGAAUAAAAAUAAGAAUAUCCAUUCUAAACAGUCCUAUUGAAGUUAUGAAAUCCUAGCCAGAGAAUAAAAGGAAUCCAAACAGAAAACAAAGAAAGUCAAAUUAUCUUUACUGAUGAAAGAAUUGUCCACCUAGAAUACUUUAAAGGUUUCACCAAAAGAGUUCUAAGCCUGGAAAAAGACUUCAAAAAAAAUCUUAGAAUACAAAAUCAGCACAAAUGCAUAGCAUUUCUGUACACCAAUAAUAUUCAAACUGAGAACAAAAUAAAAAACACAGCUCUAUUUACAAUAGCAACAAACACACAAAAAAAUACCUAGAAAUACAUUAAAUCAAGGGGGUAAAAUAUCUCUACAAAGAACAACAAAACAUUGCUGAAAGAAACGAGAGACAAUGCAAAUAAAUGGAAAAAUAUUGCUCAUGGAUUCAAAUAAUAUAAUUAAAAUGGUCAUUCUGCCUAAAGCAACCUACAGAUUAAGUGCUAUUUUUAUCAGACUAUCCAUGACGAUUUUUAUUGAAUUAGAAAAAGAAAACUAUUCUAAAAUACAUUCAAAAGAAUUAAAGAGCUCAAAUAGCCAAGAAAACUUCAGACUAAAAGAAUAAAUCUGGGCCAAGCAUGGUGGCUCAUGCCUGUCAUCUCAGCCCUUUGGGAGGCUGAGAUGGAUGGAUCACCUGAGGUCAGAAGUUUGAGACCAGCCUGGCCAACAUGGUGAAACCUGCAUCUCUACUAAAUGUAAAAAAUUAGCCAGGUGUGGUGGUGCAUGCCUGUAAUCCCAGCUACUUGGGAGGCUGAGGAAAGAGAACCAUUUGAGCCUGGGAGGUGGAGGUUGCAGUGAGCCAAGAUUGCAUCAGAAUAACCAGUAUAACAUGGUUCUGGUACAAAAAUAAACAUCUAGACCAAUGAAAUGGAAGAGAGAGUACUGAAUUAAGCUAUACUUUGCAAUCAGGUUAUUUUUACAAAGCCAACAGAAAUAAACAAAAGGGGAAUUAACUCCCUAUUUAGUAAGUAAUACUGGGAAAACUGGUUAGUCAUAUGUGGAAGAAAACUGUACUACCUUUUUCUAUAAAAAAAAAACAACUCAAUAUAGAUUAAAGACUUGAUCUGUGAGUCUCCAAGCUACAAAAAUCUUAGAAUAACACUUAGAUAAUACUGGCCUCUGUAAAGAAUUUAUGACUAACAUCUAACAUGAGUGCAACAAAAAUAAAAAUAAAAAAUGGCAUCUAAGCCAAAGAGCUUCUGCACAGUAAAAGAAACUAUCAGCAAAGUAAACAGAUGACCUACAGUAUGAAAUAAAAUAUUUGCAAACUGCAGACAAUGAAGGAUUAAUGUACAGAAUCUAUAAUACAUUUAAUAAAAAAGCAAACAUGAUAUGAAUAGCCAGCUUCUUCUCAAAGGAAGACAUAAGAGCUGCCAAUAAACAUGUAAAAAUUGCUCAACGUUCCUAAUUAUCAGAAAGAUGUAAAUCAAAGUGACAGUGUGAUACUAUUUCAUACCAGUAAGAAUGACUUAUUAAAAGUAAGAUAAAUAAGAUGUUGAAGUUGUAGAGAUAAGGAAAUCUUUCUACACUGUUGGUGGGAAUGCAAAUUAAUUCAGAACCUGUGCAAAGCAGUUUGGGGACUUCUCAAAGAACUAGAAAUAGAAUUGCCAUUUGACCAAUCAAGCCGAUUACUGGAUAUCUGCCCCCAAAAAGAAUAAAUAAUUUUGCCAAAGAGACACCAGCACUCACAUGUUCAUUGCAGCACUAUUCACAAUAGCAAAAACAGAAUUUAACCAGUUACCCAUGAAUCUUUUAUUGGAUAAGAAAAAUGAUGUACUUAUACAACCUCCAAUACUAUGCAGCAACAGAAGAGAAUGAAGUAACGUCUUUUGCAGCAACAUGAAUGCAGCUCUGCUUCAGGCCAUUCUAAGCAAAUUAUUGCAUCAGAAAAACAAAUGCCACAUGUUCUCACUCAUACAUGGAUGCUAAAAAUUGGGCGCACAUGGAAACAAAGAUGAAAACAAUAAACACUGAGAAUUCUAAAAAGAAGGAGGAAGGAUGGGAGACAAGCAUAGAAAAUCUGCUUAGGUAUGAUGUACACUACUUGGGCAAUGGAAUUAUUAAGUAUCCAAACCUCAACAUCAUGUAGUCUACCUGUUUUACAAAUCUGCACAUGUACCUUAAAUAUAAAAUAAAAAUAAUAAAAUGUUUUUUGGUAUAAUGACAUGUUCUAUUUUUCCAGUGCUGGGUUAAUAGUUGAAAUUAGGGGUGAAAGACAAAUUUUUCACCCCUUAAGGCAUGGUGGUGAAUGUUUCUAUACCAGGUCUCCUCACAUUUUAUAAGCUAACCUGAAAUUUCUUAGUCUAUAGCCCAAAAAGUGUUUUAUUUUCAAGUGUGCAAGUAAAACAAAUUACACCUUUAUUAUUUAUGUAUUAACUGUACACUACACUAUAGACUUAAUUUGUUACUGUACUCUUUUGGGGGAAAAUGUAAUUGGAUUAAUCAUUUUUUUUUUCAGAAUGAACUAUUUGUGAAUGGGUGAGACUAAAAAUUAUGCUAAAUUACUGAAUUAGAAAUAUAAAACAUUUUUUCUAAAAAAAAAAGCACA